rnacentral:rRNA from 1 species
UACAGAGGUCCCAAGCGUUGUUCGGAUUCAUUGGGCGUAAAGGGUGCGUAGGCGGCGCGGUAAGUCGGGUGUGAAAGCCUUGAGCUCAACUCAAGAAUGGCACUCGAUACUUGGUGGCUAGAGGACCGGAGAGGAUAGUGGAAUUCCCAGUGUAGUGGUGAAAUACGUAGAGAUUGGGAAGAACACCAGUGGCGAAGGCGGCUAUCUGGACGGUUUCUGACGCUAAGACGCGAAAGCGUGGGGAGCAAACAGG